rnacentral:rRNA from 1 species
UACGGAGGAUCCAAGCGUUAUCCGGAAUCAUUGGGUUUAAAGGGUCCGUAGGCGGUUUUGUAAGUCAGUGGUGAAAGCCCAUCGCUCAACGGUGGAACGGCCAUUGAUACUGCAAGACUUGAAUUAUUAGGAAGUAACUAGAAUAUGUAGUGUAGCGGUGAAAUGCUUAGAGAUUACAUGGAAUACCAAUUGCGAAGGCAGGUUACUACUAAUAUAUUGACGCUGAUGGACGAAAAGCGUGGGGGAGCGAACAGG